rnacentral:lncRNA from 1 species
GAACAUUUGCCACCAAAUACUGUUAAAUAUAUUAUCUGGCAAUAAAUUGCUCUCAAGUUAAAACUUUGACACAGGCACUAAUAUUUACAACUCUUAAGGAAUGCUACAUAGUGAUACCUCAAAGCAUAAAUUAUUUUGGCUUAUAAUUCUUAAACAAUGAUACUAGCAAAAGUGAUGCAAGAUCCUCAGAGUUAGAUUAUGAGUAAGCUACAUUUUACAAAAACAUGGUGUAAGAUGGCAAUAAUCCCAUUCUGGAUUUGAUCCCUUCAGGAGAGACUGGUCAUUUAUAGAGUCAAACUUGAAAAUUUACAGGUAGGGCCAUUCAGUAUUGCCACUGAGAUGUGCAUCUCUUAAAAUAUUCAACUUGAAGGUCACAGUUGGGAAGAUAUGAAGUAGCAAGCUGGUUUGAUGGAUUGGUCGGUUGACACUUAGAAACACAUUUAUUGCCUUGCCCUCUUUUAAAGAGGUUUUCAGAGUGUCCGUGAAACUUGUGGACUACUUUACAAAUUCCUUCUUUUGGUCUUCAACUGCCCUGCAGUUCUGGCGUUGAUACUUCUUGAAAACAUUAUUCAGUAUAUCAAGAAAUUCUUUCAUUGUGCAUAGUUACAUCCCUGAUCAUCUGUAGAAACCUUGUUCUGUCACUGAUCUCAUAGGAGAUCUUACCAAGAAUCCAUUUAGGUGCUCAUCACGCCUUUUCAUUCCGACCUGGAAUCCUGGUGUUGAGGGUUCAGUCAUAUACUCUCCUCUGCCAUCAGCUGUCAUUUGAGGAAGGGAUUCGGUGAAUUCAUGUCUACAUUUUUUUCCUUUAAAAUUUUCAUAGUGAUGUCUUGCAUGAAACCUGCAUUUUCUUCCCUAUUCUAUGUAGUCCUUGUGUUAGCCUGUACACAAGGAUUUUCCUAGUUUGCUUUACAUAUCUCCUCCAUUAAAGAAGGUUUCUCAAGCAAAGAAAUAGGAACUUGACCAUAUACUGUCAUUAUCUCAACUAAUUUUGAACAUGGCCCACAUAGUAUAACAUCUGCUAGGACUUAAGUACUAACACUGAUAAUGAGCAUCCUUUACAUUCACAGCGUGUUGUAGUUUUUUGAAUGUUUUACCUUAUAUCGAUUAAUCUUCACAACUGCCACUAACGUGUGCGUAUCACUCCUUACUGUGUACAUAGCACAGUGCCAGACCUUUGUACCUCUGUUAGUCUGUUUGAUCUUCACAAUGUAAUGAAACCAAGUUUUCACAUGUAACGAAAUAAAAAUAAAUAUACAUUUUCUUAAUACUGGCCACCAAAAUGCAUUUUAGAGCAAAAACUCUGUGGGGGGAACACAUAUCUUGAUAAACAGUUUGGAAUAGAAGUUGGAAUACUGAAUGUGUGGGUGUUAGCAGGAACCCCAGGAAAAUAAAGAUGGUCAAGGAAAUGGGAAAAAAGGAGCACAGUGGGGUGGAGCUUACAUGCAGAAAGGGUGUCCAGGAAAACCUCAUUGAUGUGACCAUGAGAGAUAAGCACUUUAAGGAAUUCUCAGAAAGCCAGGGAAGAGUCCUGGAAUUUUUAUGUUUGAGUUUAUUUUAUUUGUAUCACAAGGAACAGGGACUUCUUAGCUGCUUUAUUAUUUACACACAGACAGGUAAAUUGAGGAUAAAAAGAGGAGCAACGAAAGUUCCUAGAGUUGGAUACAAGUUUGUCUGACUUAAGCUUCUACAAUAGACCUGAGGUCAUAGGCUUAUACUCCAUCCCAGACAUACUUGACUCCACAUACCCUCUUUUGGUUAGACCACCGGUGACCCCUUAGGAUGGGGAGAACUCGCCUGAGCCAAGGAAGAGUUAGCAAACCUGAACCCAGUGUCAAAGCAGAGCCAAGAACAAGGAUAGGAUAGUCUUGUGCAUUCCUCAGAUGAGCUUCCUCUAAAGUAGUCUAGGGGAUUGACAACAAUCAUUGACCUUCUCCUCCCUGCUCGCAAGCUACAGAGUGGUGUAAGUUUCACUGAUGUCAGGAGACAGGAAAGGAAGGUAUCUGAGUAUCUUAGAAAUAUUUCCAGAGGAGAGACCCUUGGAAAGAAAUAGGUCAUAGGAAUGCCUGGAGGGGAGACACAGAGAAACUUCAGCUUAUAGGGAUACAUGAAGUGCUGUGUUCCCAAGGGGAGCUGCUUCUGGCUGUAUUCAUUGCUGAGAAAUCCAUAGGAGACCCAUGGGAAUUCUCUUUGGCUUGUGGAGACAGCUCAGCAAGUGUCUUAUAUGUCCACCAUCCCCGAUUAUAUAAACCUAGAUCCUUGAGGAAAUAAAACACCUAUAAUGGACAACAGAAGUUACCCAGGUUGGGUGCUUACUACAUACUAGGCACUGUCCUAAGGACUACCAAGCCUUCUCUCAUGUAAUUCUCAUGACACAGCUAUGAGGUAGGUCACGUUAUGAUACCGAUUCUACAAAUGAAUACAUAGAGAAUGAAGGGAGUAGAAAAUAACUUACAGGCCAUGUAUCAAAGACCUCUGGUGAUACAGAGCAUGGCAAAGUGCACUGGCAUGAGUUGACUUCUCCCAUCACUGAGAAAACAGAACAAUGAUGCCCCUGGAUCGACCUGAUAGAGUGGGGACAUACACAGAUGAAUGAGUAAAGCACAACUUCCCACUGAGAAAUAUGAUGGCAAUGGAUGGUAAGAAACAUGGAGAAGAGGUCUAGACUGUGGAGCUAUGAGGUGGAGAUUAUGUUUCUCAUUAAGGGUUGCAGUGUAGCCAGGUUUGAACAUCCAGGUAGCUAGCUUGGGUGUGGGACCUGCAUCUUCCAUUACCGGGGCAUUGAAAAGACUCAUUUUUGGCCAGUGGGAUUGAGAGCCCAGAUUGCCUACAUGCCAAUGCUGGCUCUGCCACUUAGUAGCUUUUGUGACCUUCAGUAAGUCAUGAGAUGGGAUCAUAAUAGCAUCAUGUCAGCAAUCUUAUAAAGAUUAAAUACAUUUAAUUUGUCUUAGCAAGUAUCAUUCCAACCCUGGCAGCCUGACACCGAUAUCCCAUCAUCUCCUACAGUCCGAUGCGGCUUUCAUGCUUUGCCCUGCCUAUCCCCACAACACAGGCCUGACAUUCAUCAGACUCACAGAUGAAAAAUGAUCGAAAGUUACCACCUCUGAGACUGGGCUUAAUGUGACUGUCCUCUCUGUUCCCUGGCUUGCUCUAUCACAGUUUAAGAGCAGCUUUAAAAAAAAAAAAAA